rnacentral:misc_RNA from 1 species
GAUGAAGAACGCAGCGAAAUGCGAUAAGUAGUGUGAAUUGCAGAAUUCAGUGAAUCAUCGAAUCUUUGAACGCACAUUGCGCCCCUUGGUAUUCCAUGGGGCAUGCCUGUUCGAGCGUCAUUUGUACUCUCAAGCCUUGCUUGGUGUUGGGUGCUUGUCUUUGCUUUGCGUAGACUCUCCCUAAAUACAUUGGCAGCCGAUAUAUUGGUUUGAAGCGCAGCACAAUUGCUAUUCAGGCUUGUUGUAUCAGCAUCCACAAAGAAUUAUAACACUUUUGACCUCGGAUCAGGUAGGGAUACCCGCUGAACUUAAGCAUAUCAAUAAGCGGAGGA